rnacentral:rRNA from 1 species
GACGAACGCUGGCGGCGUGCUUAACACAUGCAAGUCGAACGGAGAGGCCCUGCUUUUGUGGGGUGCUCGAGUGGCGAACGGGUGAGUAACACGUGAGUAACCUGCCCUUGACUUUGGGAUAACUUCAGGAAACUGGGGCUAAUACCGGAUAGGAGCUCCUGCUGCAUGGUGGGGGGUGGAAAGUUUCGGCGGUUGGGGAUGGGCUCGCGGCUUAUCAGCUUGUUGGUGGGGUAGUGGCUUACCAAGGCUUUGACGGGUAGCCGGCCUGAGAGGGUGACCGGCCACAUUGGGACUGAGACACGGCCCAGACUCCUACGGGAGGCAGCAGUGGGGAAUAUUGCACAAUGGGCGGAAGCCUGAUGCAGCAACGCCGCGUGCGGGAUGACGGCCUUCGGGUUGUAAACCGCUUUCGCCAGUGACGAAGCGAAAGUGACGGUAAUGGGUAAAGAAGCGCCGGCUAACUACGUG